CAGCCCCAAUCGGGCGGUAAA
rnacentral:snRNA from 1 species